rnacentral:rRNA from 1 species
GACGAACGCUGGCGGCGUGCUUAACACAUGCAAGUCGAACGGAAAGGCCCUGCUUUUGUGGGGUGCUCGAGUGGCGAACGGGUGAGUAACACGUGAGUAACCUGCCCUUGACUUUGGGAUAACUUCAGGAAACUGGGGCUAAUACCGGAUAGGAGCUCCUGCUGCAUGGUGGGGGUUGGAAAGUUUCGGCGGUUGGGGAUGGACUCGCGGCUUAUCAGCUUGUUGGUGGGGUAGUGGCUUACCAAGGCUUUGACGGGUAGCCGGCCUGAGAGGGUGACCGGCACCAUUGGGACUGAGAUACGGCCCAGACUCCUACGGGAGGCAGCAGUGGGGAAUAUUGCACAAUGGGCGGAAGCCGGAUGCAGCAACGCCGCGUGCGGGAGGACGGCCUUCGGGUUGUAAACCGCUUUCGCCUGUGACGAAGCGUGAGUGACGGUAAUGGGUAAAGAAGCACCGGCUAACUACGU